rnacentral:lncRNA from 1 species
UAUGCUCCGUAAAUCCUUCAUGUUAAUUGGCUCACUCACAUCACAUACCCACUUAAAAGAAAAACCCAUUAUCGUAUACUGUAUUAUUUAUGAAUUAAAACCCUCGAAAAGAAAAACCCAUUAUCAGAUCCAUUCUCUAGAACUCACUUGCUCUGUAAGCAUGGAGCUCUGUUCCAUGAACCAACUAAAGUCGCAACCUUUAUGGCGGCUUCUUCUUCUGGUACUGUCGGUUUUUGUAUGUAUUCAAGUUCCUUUCCUCCAUUUUUUAAAUGGGUUUAUGUUAAUUUCUUCAGAGCUCCAAAGAAUUUCAAGGAAUACGGGUCAUGGGCACUGGUAACCGGGCCAACAAAGAAUUUCAAGGAAUAUGUUAGAAGCUACUUGGUUGAAAUUGCCAACAAAGGGGUGGUGGCGCAGUUGGCUAGCGCGUAGGUCUCAUAGCUUCUUAGUACUCCUGAGGUCAAUAGUUGGAGGACCCUCUCUCACCCCAUAAUAAUACUUUUGAUUCUUUUUUUUAUAAAUAUAAAUUGCCCAGUCCCAUUAUGGAAUCGACAUAAUUUUAAGGUUGUUUAUCAUUGAUUUUUAUUAUCAUGUGGUUUAUUCACAUUAUAUUAUCCUCAUUACUAAUUGUGCUUGGGGAAUUCUAUGUUAGAUAUGAAUUUAUAUAUGAGAUAGGUUUGGUCAAGAUGAUUUUCGCUUAUCAAAUGACAC